rnacentral:rRNA from 1 species
UGUUUGGAGAGUUUGAUCCUGGCUCAGGACAAACGCUGGCGGGGUGCAUGAGACAUGCAAGUCGAACGGGGUUGAGCGGGCUUGCUCGAUCAACCUAGUGGCGGACGGCUGAGUAACGCGUAGGUGACCUACCCGGAAGUGGGGAAUAACUGCCCGAAAGGGUGGCUAAUACCGCAUGUGGUCGGCGAUUCGGUUCGCCGCCCAAAGCCGCAAGGCGCUUCCGGCGGGGCCUGCGUCCGAUUAGCUAGUUGGUGGGGUAAUGGCUCACCAAGGCGACGAUCGGUAGCUGGUCUGAGAGGAUGAUCAGCCAGACUGGGACUGAGAACGGCCCAGACUCCUACGGGAGGCAGCAGUCGGGAAUUUUGCCCAAUGGACGAAAGUCUGAGGC